rnacentral:rRNA from 1 species
UACGUAGGGUGCAAGCGUUAAUCGGAAUUACUGGGCGUAAAGCGUGCGCAGGCGGUUUUGUAAGUCUGACGUGAAAUCCCCGGGCUCAACCUGGGAAUUGCGUUGGAGACUGCAAGGCUAGAAUCUGGCAGAGGGGGGUAGAAUUCCACGUGUAGCAGUGAAAUGCGUAGAGAUGUGGAGGAACACCGAUGGCGAAGGCAGCCCCCUGGGUCAAGAAUGACGCUCAUGCACGAAAGCGUGGGGAGCAAACAGG